rnacentral:rRNA from 1 species
GACGAACGCUGGCGGCGUGCCUAAUACAUGCAAGUAGAACGCAGUUGCGAACGGGUGAGUAACGCGUAGGUAACUGCCUCAUAGCGGGGGAUAACUAUUGGAAACGAUAGCUAAUACCGCAUACUGUGAGAUCGAUCUGCGUUGUAUUAGCUAGUUGGUGAGGUAAAGGCUCACCAAGGCGACGAUACAUAGUCGACCUGAGAGGGUGAACGGCCACACUGGCACUGAGACACGGCACAGACUCCUACGGGAGGAUGCAGUAGUGACUCGGCGGCAAUGGACGGAAGUCUUACCGCGCAACGCCCGGUGAGUAAAGAACAUUUGCGGGUCGUAAAGCGCUGUUGUUGGAGAGGCGGUAGCUAACGAGAAAGCGACGGCUAACUACGCGCCAGCAGCCGCGGUAAUUC